AGUGAACGCUGGCGGUAGGCCUAACACAUGCAAGUCGAACGGCAGCACAGUAAGAGCUUGCUCUUACGGGUGGCGAGUGGCGGACGGGUGAGGAAUACAUAGGAUUCUACUUUUUCGUGGGGGAUAACGUAGGGCAACUUACGCUAAUACCUCAUACGACCUACGGGUGAAAGCAGGGGAUCUUCGGACCUUGCGCGAUUGAAUGAGCCGAUGUCGGAUUAGCUAGUUGGCGGGGUAAAGGCCCACCCCGGCGACGUUCCGUAGCUGGUCUGAGAGGAUGUUCGGCCACACUGGAACUGGGACCCGGUCCAGACUCUUACGGGGGGCCGCAUUGGGGAUUAUUCGACAAGGGGCGCAAUCCUGAUCCAGCCCUCCCGGGGAGGUGAAGAAGGCCUUCGGGUUGUAAAGCCCUUUUGUUGGGAAGGAAAAGCACCAUGUUAAUACCCCGCUGUUCUGACGGUACCCAAAGAAUAAGCACCGGCUAACUUCGUG
rnacentral:rRNA from 1 species